rnacentral:lncRNA from 1 species
AAAAAAAGAGAGAAGCCACUGAUCUUCCUUGCCUAGCCUGGGAUCAGAGACAGGCAUGGGCACACGGCACCGGGACAGGGGUAAAUCCCCUACCCCAGGAGGGAAUGUGGAGGAGAUCGUAGCUAAGCGUGGAACUGAGACAGUCACUGCCAUCUGCCCCGGCUUGAUUUACCCCCUGCCUCCAUCACAGAGCCCAAUUUGUUUUUAUACGCAGCCACAAGCAACAGCCGUCCUCACUGUUUACACAGGUCAGAGCUGGGAGCAGCUCCAAUCACACCGAGGUUGGCUUCCAGCUUGGCGCUGCCCCAGGACAGUACUGCGUGGACCAUCCCUGCAGCUUCAGUGACCAAUCAGUUGCAGCAUCUCCUGAGGAUCUACUAUCUUCUCCCGGGGUUUGCCAGCAGCUUUUCCUCGUGCCACUUCGGCAGCAUCUAUCUUCUCCCACUCUGAGAAGGAAACAGGACGGAUCCCUGGGGUGAUGGUGAGAGACAGGACCGAGACAUCAACCAAGUGAAAAUGAGUUCAGCCUCACCUCCCCAUUAGCAGGGACCUGAUGUGCAAGCAAACCCUGCCCUUUUCCAACACAGCGUCAGACUUUAGCAUCGCACAGGAAUAAUAAUUCCUAGCACCAGGAGGAGAGAGAUUGCGGGUUCCAGUCAAAUCUGAUUAGUCAGACCUUUGCGAGCCAUAAGAACAGUGAGCACAGCACCACCUUAGGGGACAAAACACUUACAAAACACUUCCAGUUCACUGUUAAACCUCAGACAGUUAAGAGGCAAAAACACACUUUAAUUGAAUGGCUUUAAACACUGCAGCAGUAAAUGACUCUCUUGGGCAUUUUAAUCUUUUCCCCAAUUUGCCUGGAAGGAUUGCUAGGAAAACCAUUCAAGAGCAAUAACUCGCUGUCUACACCACUGACAGUGACAUUUUGCUCAUGGCCCAUGCUGCUUUCAAUGGCCUUUCCCAGAAAGCAGUCAUUAACCGCAGCAACGAUGCUGACUUUCAGAGAAUCCCAGUCCUACUCUCCCUGCACUUUGGAGCAACAAAAUAGCAGCACAACCCAUUUCCCUACUUGGCUCCCAAAGGUAGCAUGUUGGACUCACUGCCAGGAUACCCAGAUCCAGGAUCUGUGUGUGUCAUACUUCAUGCUAGCUGCUACAGAGGCUGACACACACUCACCUCGACUACGCAGGAUGCUACCCACAGCCCCAAAACCUUCUUUGGAGACAGACACAUCCAGCACACCCUCCUGGAGAUCCUCCAGCACAGACUGGGCAGUGUCAAAGCUGUCGUUCAUGGUGGUGAUGAUCACACCCACGGGUCCUCUCUUCACCCACCCACUGCAGUACAGACCUGCAUGGGCACACACAGCAGACAGGCUCAGUCUGGCACACGACCAUGGACCCUUGUGGAUGCAGGUUCUUGCCCUUGCUUUGGAUGUCACAUCAAGCUGCAGGCAGCAGCAUAAUGCACCCCUGCUUUGGGGACAGAGCAUAGUACUCUGACAGUGCCGUCAGAGGAAUCUGUGUACCUCCAGACUAACACCAAGCAGCCAAAUGGGCUGUACUGCUUCAGUAACAAGACUUCAAG